AUGCGCCAGCUCCACCACGGCUGUCUGGCGUACAGCCCGCCCCCGCCCGCUACUUCAGCCCCACUGCUUCCUUCCCGCGGCCGCGCGCUGCUGCAGCCCCCUGCGCGCUGGGCUGCUGCUCCGUGCUGCUCCAGCUCCGCCGCAUCCCCUCGCGCCCCAGAUCCUUGCCUUGACCCCGAGUGCCCACCUCGCCCUCUCCAUCCUCCAGUGCAACCCCGCACGCGCGCGCCGGACCGGGCUUCCUGUGGCUCUGCUCCAACCCCUCCCGCGGCCUCCUCUCUCGCGUCACCGCGGAACCCUCUCCACGGCUCGUCCGCAGCUCCACCCCAGAGCGCCACCGCGUCAUCCCCCCGACUCCGUGCCCGCACCGCCGUGGCCGAGUCCCACGUGCUCGCGCUGCCGCGCGCCCGCCUGCUGGGUCCGGCUCCGCGCCCCCCUAGUCCAGGUUAUCCCGUGCCGCUGCGCCGUCACCGCCGUCGGCGCCGGGUCCGGCUCCUCCCGCGUCGCUGCGCCGUCUCCGCCGUCAGCGCCGAGUCCGGCACAUCCCACGCAGGCCGGUUUCCGCCUGCCUCCCGGCCUCUUGAGCUCCCUGCCGGGUCGCCGCGCCUCCGGCCGCCUUCCCGUGCCGGCCCGCUGGCCUCCCGAGCCCCUGCCAGCUCGUCGCGCCUGCCGGCUUCGCGCGUGCCUGGCCGCUGGGUUGCAGCGCCCACGCACUCCUCCGCCCGGCUUCAGGUCGCGCCCGGCCUCCGUAGUCGCCGCGCCGGCUCCGCCCGCAUCCCGGCCGCCCGCACGCCGGCUGGCCGGCUCGCUGCUCCGCCUCCGGCCUGCUCCAGCCGGCUCCCGCACGCCGGCUCCGUCUCCGGCCUGUGCAGGCCGACUUCGCCUCCGACCCGGCCGCCUGCCGGCUCCCGCCCCGUGUGUCCGGAGGCCGGCUGCGCCCGUGCGUUCUGUCGCCGGCUGGAGAAAAUAGAAAAAAGAAAGAAAGAGGGGUGGCCGGCUGCUCAAGGGGCCGGCUAA
rnacentral:rRNA from 1 species